AGUGGGCGCGCGGCCCGGCGUCUGGCGCCUGGGGUAUGCAGGCGGCCGUCGUGAGCUCGGGAUCUUCUCACCUCUUGCUCAGCCCCGGGGUACGCCGCGCUACGCUGGUUGAGAGCCGGUGUAGGCGCUUUUCACUACGGGGAAGCCGGUCCUCCCAUCCUCCGGCUCCCUCUGUCGGCCGAGGGAGGGACGAGGCCCCUGCGUCACGAACGAGCUCCAGUUCAAAGCCCCCCUUUCAGCCCUGCAGUCCCCAGACUCUUUCCUGGUCUCCAGCGACCCCGCUGCAGCCCCACUUGAGGAACCUUUGGCCUCGAGCUGGUAAACAACGCGCCUUGUAGAGAAAUCGCCUUUCUGGCUUUCGCCCUCAAGGCUCUGGUCCUCGUCUGUCAUGUUUUCGUGGCCGCCCCACUCUCCUUAGGGACCUCGGUGCCCAUCAGCUAGCCCCUGGAGCCCCUUAAAGAGGGGUCACUACACUUAGAGGUGCUCCCCUGCACCCUUCUGGGUGGCUUGCUGUCAUCCUCCUACAGGGCCAAGUCUGAGGGAGCCUUUUGAGAGCAGAGCUGUGGUGCGCUUCAACCUGUGCUGUCCUUUUGAAUAUGUUUUUUUUUGUAAUCUCCCCAGACGGUAAAUACCAUGUGUUUGACCAAACAAAUCUCCUAUUAGUCAUUUUCCUUCACCGCACUCCUUCCAUUAUGAAGACCCAGUGAGACGUCUUUCAUGAAGACUUUUGGCAAACUAGUCCUCUUACAGCCUGCUGAGUUAAUUCCAUUGUGCCAUGUACCCAGCAUCCACAGCGCCAACUCCUUUACCUAUGCUAUUGGUUCGCCAAACUUGUUACUAUUGAACACCCCACACCCAAGAAAAGCUCUCUAUACAGUUAUGUAAGAUUUAUUAGAAUUCUGCUAUUUGUGGCACUGUAAAACAUCUACAAAUUCUAAAAAUUAUAGCAAAGACAGACAUUUAAAAUAAACGAGAUUUUAAGUAGUAAUGGUAUAAAAAAAUCCAUUAACCCUACUGAAAAUAUUUAGUGAACGCACUCUGAUUGACUAGGUUUCAUUAGUUUUUUAAAAGCUAAUUCUUUGUGAAACACUUAUUAAAAUAUCUGAUUCAGUGUUCAGGUUAUUUCUGUACUUGGCUUUAAUAGCUGUCAUAAGCUGAAAAAGGUAACCCACAAAGAUUUUGAUCCUAAUGGAAGAAGUGCAUUUUCAACUACUAUUACUAAUACAAUGCUCAUUUUUAUCUGUUUCAGCUUCCAGCCAUACAAAGGGUUUUGUUGAAAUUCAGCUACUAAUUUUCCAUCUUUCCUAAUGUCAACUAGAAUUUUUAUGUUUUAACAGGUGGGCUGCAGUGGUGAAGGACUUUCCAAGCAUACAGAGCGUUCCGAAUUCAAUCCCUACCUCCUUCUCCCAGAACAGUCAAAUACCUUCUCCCAAAACAAUCAACAAAAUAAAAACAAAAAUCCAAGUAGACUAAAAAUUCUUUAAAUACACUACUCAGAUUUCUGAAAAGGCC
rnacentral:lncRNA from 1 species